CAAUAGCAUAUAUUAACGUUGUUGCAGUUGAAAAGCUCGUAGUUGAACUUUUGGUAGGAGCGACCUGGCCUUGGGCGCAUGCCCUUGUUUGCCGUGUGUCGUAUCUGGCCAUCCUUUUCUUCGUUUUUCGGAGGAAUCUUUUACUGUGAGUAAACUGGAGUGCUCAAAACAAGACGUUUGUUUGGUACAUUAAAGCAUGGAAUAAUAAGAUAGGACCUGGUUACUAUUUUGUUGGUUUGCAUAGCUGGGUAAUGAUGAAUAGGAACAGUCGGAGGUAUUCGUAUUUAAUUGUCAGAGGUGAAAUUCUUGGAUUUCUGAAAGACGAACCACUGCGAAAGCAUUUACCAAGGAUGUUUNCAUUAA
rnacentral:rRNA from 1 species